rnacentral:rRNA from 1 species
UGGGGAAUAUUGGACAAUGGGGGCAACCCUGAUCCAGCAAUGCCGCGUGAGUGAUGAAGGCCUUAGGGUUGUAAAGCUCUUUCGCCCGCGACGAUGAUGACGGUAGCGGGAGAAGAAGCCCCGGCUAACUUCGUGCCAGCAGCCGCGGUAAUACGAAGGGGGCUAGCGUUGUUCGGAAUUACUGGGCGUAAAGCGCACGUAGGCGGAUAUUUAAGUCAGGGGUGAAAUCCCAGAGCUCAACUCUGGAACUGCCUUUGAUACUGGGUAUCUUGAGUAUGGAAGAGGUAAGUGGAAUUGCGAGUGUAGAGGUGAAAUUCGUAGAUAUUCGCAGGAACACCAGUGGCGAAGGCGGCUUACUGGUCCAUUACUGACGCUGAGGUGCGAAAGCGUGGGGAGCAAAC